rnacentral:rRNA from 1 species
UACGUAGGGGCCGAGCGUUGUCCGGAGUUACUGGGCGUAAAGCGCGCGCAGGCGGCGGUCCGCGCCCCGGCGUGAAAGCCCCCGGCUCAACCCGGGGGAGGGUCGUCGGGGACGGGGCCGCUUGAGGACGGCAGGGGCAGGUGGAAUUCCCGGUGUAGUGGUGAAAUGCGUAGAGAUCGGGAGGAACACCCGUGGCGAAGGCGGCCUGCUGGGCCGAUCCUGACGCUGAGGCGCGAAGGCGUGGGGAGCGAACGGG